UUUUCACUACGCUCUGAAUUUAAACGAAUGAAAUCUUUAUCGAAAACACACGAAUUAAAUAAUUUAAAAAUGUCGUAUCGAUGAAUUAUUUUACAAAGUCAUUUUAAUACGUCUGUCGGUUUUUGUUUUUCAUCGAAUUACCUUUGUGCGUGAGAAAAACCCAUCAAUUCCAGUCGUCCUGCACUGUAUGCAUUAAAUGUGCCUUGUUCGACCCUAAUCAGGACCCGCCUGUAAACACAUACGCCAAAGUUUAUCAAACUAUAUGUAAAUCAGCGGGUCCUUUCCGAACGGAUUCCAGAUCGCGAAAUGGUCGUUUCGUUACUGGAAACGGUUAAACCGCGGUGGCUUUACCGACCGAGAAAUUUAGCUUGAUAAAAACGACGAUUUUCGUUGCAUUACUGAAUUUAAAACAAAAGACGUCUUAGGAUAAAGAGGACGGGUGCAGCUAC